rnacentral:rRNA from 1 species
CUAUACNUGCANGUCGAACGAGGCUUCNAGCCGAGUGGCGAACGGCUGAGUAACACGUUGGCAUCUGCCCCGAACUCANGGAUAACAUCUANAAAUAGGUGCUAAUACCGGAUAGUCCCGCAAGGGUAAAGCUUUUGCGGUUCGGGAGGAGCCUGCGGCCUAUCANCUUGUUGGUGGGGUAAUGGCCUACCAAGGCAAUGACGGGUAGCUGGUCUGANAGGAUGAUCANCCAGAAUGGGACUGANACACGGCCCAUACUCCUACGGGAGGCAGCAGUAAAGAAUCUUCCGCAAUGGGGGAAACCCUGACGGAGCAAUACCGCGUGAAGGAUGAAUGUCGUAAGAUUGUAAACUUCUUUUCUGAGGGAAGAAUUCUGACGGUACCUCAGGAAUAAGCACCGGCUAACUCCGUGCCAGCAGCCGCGGUAAUACGGAGGGUGCAAGCGUUAUCCGGAAUCAUUGGGCGUAAAGCGUCCGCAGGCGGUUUGUUAAGCUGAAUAUUAAAUCUUGGAGCCCAACUUCAAGGCUGUGUUCAGAACUGGCAGACUAGAGACUUUCAGAGGUGCGCGGAAUUUUGUGUGUAGGGGUAAAAUCCGUAGAUACACAGAGGAACACCAAAAGCGAAGGCGGCGUACUGGGAAAGAUCUGACGCUCAUGGACGAAAGCGUGGGUAGCGAACGGGAUUAGAUACCCCGGUAGUCCACGCCGUAAACGAUGGAUACUAGGUGUUGGGGGACUCAACCCCCUCAGUGCCGACGCUAACGCAUUAAGUAUCCCGCCUGGGGAGUACGGUCGCAAGAUUAAAACUCAAAGGAAUAGANNGGGAUCCACACAAGCGGU